GGGUUGUGAGGUUAAGCGACUAAGCGUACACGGUGGAUGCCCUGGCAGUCAGAGGCGAUGAAGGACGUGCUAAUCUGCGAUAAGCGUCGGUAAGGUGAUAUGAACCGUUAUAACCGGCGAUUUCCGAAUGGGGAAACCCAGUGUGUUUCGACACACUAUCAUUAACUGAAUCCAUAGGUUAAUGAGGCGAACCGGGGGAACUGAAACAUCUAAGUACCCCGAGGAAAAGAAAUCAACCGAGAUUCCCCCAGUAGCGGCGAGCGAACGGGGAGCAGCCCAGAGCCUGAAUCAGUGUGUGUGUUAGUGGAAGCGUCUGGAAAGGCGCGCGAUACAGGGUGACAGCCCCGUACACAAAAAUGCACAUGCUGUGAGCUCGAUGAGUAGGGCGGGACACGUGGUAUCCUGUCUGAAUAUGGGGGGACCAUCCUCCAAGGCUAAAUACUCCUGACUGACCGAUAGUGAACCAGUACCGUGAGGGAAAGGCGAAAAGAACCCCGGCGAGGGGAGUGAAAAAGAACCUGAAACCGUGUACGUACAAGCAGUGGGAGCACGCUUAGGCGUGUGACUGCGUACCUUUUGUAUAAUGGGUCAGCGACUUAUAUUCUGUAGCAAGGUUAACCGAAUAGGGGAGCCGAAGGGAAACCGAGUCUUAACUGGGCGUUAAGUUGCAGGGUAUAGACCCGAAACCCGGUGAUCUAGCCAUGGGCAGGUUGAAGGUUGGGUAACACUAACUGGAGGACCGAACCGACUAAUGUUGAAAAAUUAGCGGAUGACUUGUGGCUGGGGGUGAAAGGCCAAUCAAACCGGGAGAUAGCUGGUUCUCCCCGAAAGCUAUUUAGGUAGCGCCUCGUGAAUUCAUCUCCGGGGGUAGAGCACUGUUUCGGCAAGGGGGUCAUCCCGACUUACCAACCCGAUGCAAACUGCGAAUACCGGAGAAUGUUAUCACGGGAGACACACGGCGGGUGCUAACGUCCGUCGUGAAGAGGGAAACAACCCAGACCGCCAGCUAAGGUCCCAAAGUCAUGGUUAAGUGGGAAACGAUGUGGGAAGGCCCAGACAGCCAGGAUGUUGGCUUAGAAGCAGCCAUCAUUUAAAGAAAGCGUAAUAGCUCACUGGUCGAGUCGGCCUGCGCGGAAGAUGUAACGGGGCUAAACCAUGCACCGAAGCUGCGGCAGCGACGCUUAUGCGUUGUUGGGUAGGGGAGCGUUCUGUAAGCCUGCGAAGGUGUGCUGUGAGGCAUGCUGGAGGUAUCAGAAGUGCGAAUGCUGACAUAAGUAACGAUAAAGCGGGUGAAAAGCCCGCUCGCCGGAAGACCAAGGGUUCCUGUCCAACGUUAAUCGGGGCAGGGUGAGUCGACCCCUAAGGCGAGGCCGAAAGGCGUAGUCGAUGGGAAACAGGUUAAUAUUCCUGUACUUGGUGUUACUGCGAAGGGGGGACGGAGAAGGCUAUGUUGGCCGGGCGACGGUUGUCCCGGUUUAAGCGUGUAGGCUGGUUUUCCAGGCAAAUCCGGAAAAUCAAGGCUGAGGCGUGAUGACGAGGCACUACGGUGCUGAAGCAACAAAUGCCCUGCUUCCAGGAAAAGCCUCUAAGCAUCAGGUAACAUCAAAUCGUACCCCAAACCGACACAGGUGGUCAGGUAGAGAAUACCAAGGCGCUUGAGAGAACUCGGGUGAAGGAACUAGGCAAAAUGGUGCCGUAACUUCGGGAGAAGGCACGCUGAUAUGUAGGUGAGGUCCCUCGCGGAUGGAGCUGAAAUCAGUCGAAGAUACCAGCUGGC
rnacentral:rRNA from 1 species